rnacentral:lncRNA from 10 species
GAGCUGGAAGAAACGAAGAACCUCAACAAUUUUUAUUUCUACUUUUGAUCAAGGAAAAGCGUAUUUAGAAGGUUCGCUAGAGAAAAAUUUAGCAGUUUGGAGGAUUGAGAUCCUUUGGCAGAGAUAUGGGAGUGUGAGCAGGAAAUAUUUUUUUAAAGGAAGAGCUGGUGUUUUAGGAUGUCAAAGGUACAAAUUAUGAUGGUGCCAUGGUUGACAGAAAUUUGCAAGAUCUCCGUAUCUACAUGAACUCUUUGCUCCUGACUAUUAGCUGACUGGUCCAGAAAUUCUUGAUCCAAGCUUGAUAUGUAAGCUUCUCUCUCCUGUGAAUAUGGCACUGAGAGACACAAGAUUAGAAGCCCUGGGUGCUGAUCAAACUCAUAGCAAGGAAGAGUGGUGGCUCAAGACUGCCUGCUCCUGAGACUUCUGAGAAGGGUGUCUCUCUGUCUGUGUGGAUGCCUGAUGCUUCUGGUAUUUCACAAAUCUUGAGCCUGGCCAGGAGUUUACUAACAGGCACCCCUGUGUCAUCUGAACAAGACAGUAUGAGAUCUUCAUGAUUCUGGACCAUAAGGAUUCCAAAUAGGCUGUUCACUUAUGAGUAGGCCUGUAACACGGACGUGUGAGAAUAAACGCCAGAGAAAAAUUUUUGUGGCUGGUCUACUUGUGGGUACAAAGGCCCAGACCCAUUGUUUCAACUGGAGACCUGUGAAGGGCGAUCCCAGCCUCAGAACCUCGCAUGGGAUGGACUCAGUACUCUGCUGCAACUGCAUUUCAGUUUAACUUCUCCCUUUACCCAGUCCUAACUUCCUUAUUCCCUAAAAAAUGUUUCUGGGAGUGCUCCUCAGUAAACUUCAUGCAUAAACACUUCAGAGGCUCAGAGUAUGUUUCCUGGAGAAUUCCAUCUGUGGCGUUUCCUCUUCAUGCCUACUGCCACCAUCCAGGUUUAGGCCCCCAUUACCGCUUACCUGGAAUAUUGCAAAAGCUUUAUCACUAUUCUCUUUGCUCACUGGCUCUCCUAUAAUCAGUCUACACAACAGCAGACUAAUUUUUUUUAUCCCAGAUCAUAGCUCUUAUGCUGUUUUCCUGCUCAAAAACUUUGGUGGCCCCCCAGUCUAUUUAAUUAGGUUCUUACUCCUUAUUGUGAUUUUCAAGACCCUUCCCAAUUUAGCCCCCACUAUUUUCAGCUCUCAUCUUCUACUCCAGUAUAAGUAUGCUCCGCUCCAUUUAAACUAGAACAUUUGCAAUCCUCCAAAUCUACUGUAAAAAUUCAUUUUUCCUAUAUUUGUUCCAAAUGUUCUCUUCUAUUAUCUUCUUUAUAAAAUUUGAACCAUAUUUCAAGGUCCAUUCUCCUUUUUCUUUUUCAUUUUUUUUCUAGAUGGAGUCUCGCACUGUCGCCCAGGCUAGAGUGCAGUGGCGCGAUCUCGGCUUACUGCAACCUCCGCCUCCUGGGUUCAAGCGAUUCUCCUGCCUCAGCCUUCCGAGUAGCUGGGAUUACAGGUGCCCCCCACCACACCCAGCUAAUUUUUGUAUUUUUAGUAGAGACGGGAUUUCACUGUAUUGGCCAGGCUGGUCUCAAACUCCUAACCUUGUGAUCUACCCACCUCGGCCUCCCAAAGUGCUGGGAUUACAGGCGUGAGCCACUGCUCCUGGCCAGGCUUAAGGUCCAUUGUGAGAGCAAUAUUCAUUCUUGGCAUACCUGUAUCAAUGUAUCUUAUGUACCCCAUAAAUAUAUAUCCCUACUAUGUGACCAAAAAAAUUAAAAAUAAAAUAAAAAUUUAAAACCCAUACAUUCUCCAUGCAGAUUUUCCUCGUACCUCAACCCAAUGUCAUCUCUUCUUCAUUAGUUAUCCCAAUGCAGUUUGUACUUCUCCUUGGUAUCUAUUGAUUAUAUUUACUGUGUGUCAAUUUCACCAUUUUACCUCUCUUCCCUAUCCUUUCACCUGCACUGAUAGAAUGUAACUGUGAGAGCAAGAUUUUACCUCAAUCAUCUUUGUAUCACUUGAAACAAGAAGCAUCAUCCUUAAUCCUGGAGUUCAAUAAAUCAUUAAUAAAUUCAAUUGAAUACAAGCUGCCAAUUUGUUUGACAUUUUUGUGAAUGC